rnacentral:rRNA from 1 species
AGAAUCAACGCUGGCGGCGUGCCUAACACAUGCAAGUCGCACGAGAAAGGGGAGCAAUCCCUGAGUAAAGUGGCGCACGGGUGAGUAACACGUGAAUCAUCUACCUCCGAGUGGGGAAUAACCUAGAGAAAUCUGGGCUAAUACCGCAUAACACUUACGAGUCAAAGCAGCAAUGCGCUUGGAGAGGAGUUCGCGGCCGAUUAGUUAGUUGGCGGGGUAAUGGCCCACCAAGACUGUGAUCGGUA